GCCGCGCAGUCGUUUUUUUUUUUUUAGCGAUACAGAGCUCGGUGAUAAGGACUUUUUGGAGGACCGCCACAGAGGCACAGCUGGCACGAAAUACGUCUGACAUGAUUUAUCCCAGAAGGAGAAAAUGAAAAUAAGCAGUAUCAGAAAUAUCACAGGAGGCAACAACUAAUCAGGGAACGCAAAUAAAUCCCGCAUUAAGAUGAAGCUGCUGGUGUCAUCCCAGACGGAGCUGUGAGAUUCCUGUGUUUAACCAUGGAGGAAAAUGAGAAGUGCGGGGAAAAGUUCUGGAAGGACACCGUAACUUGCCAGUCUUUUUUUGAUGGGAGGGCUACACUAAUAAAAGCAGAGAUGUCAUCAGAUUUAUAGACUGGUUCAGAAGCUGAAAAAGGACAUUGGGAAAGAAAGUCAAGAACACUCUGGAGUUUAGACUCUGAAAAUGAAGAAUAUGAACAUUGUAGACAACCACCACUAACCCCAAAGGCAUGAAUGUCUGGGCCCACAAUGAACAGACCACAGUGUUCAAAGUUUCUAUUAUAUCUAUAAGCGUAGUAAGAACUCUGACCUACAACCUUUCACAUGGUGACCUCAGCAUCUCAUUCCAUUUAGUUGUUUGGAAUGUAGUAGCUUGAGGUGUAUUUGUAGAAGACUGUGGUCUUUUAGCAGAUUGUGGUGUGUUCAUUGUGGGUCCAGAAAUAAGCCCCUAAAUCCUUUUCAGAGGUUGCCUCCUGUAUGACAAAUUGUCUCCCAUUUUGCAUUUAUAAUUGAUAUUUCUUUUGCCCACAUGUAGCACUUUUCACUUUUCUACAUUAAACUGCAUUUUCCAGGUGUUCGCCCAGUUCUGAAGGUUGUACAUGUCAUUUUGAUUCUUUUUGCUGCUUCCUCAGUGUCUUCCAUCCCUCCAAUAUUAGUGUCAUCUGUGAAUUUGAGAGGUUUACUAGCUAUACCAGAAUCAAUG